UCUUAAAAUACACUUUUAGUCCAGUCGAUUUGUGCAGAUUUUUGACAAAAUUGCUCAGAUUGUGGUAAAAGCAUGAAAUUUGGCAUAGUAGUAGUAUAUGGCAUGGACAACAUUUUGAGCUAUGGAUCCAAUCUGAAAAUCGAAAUUGGCGGAAGAGGCGGCCAUUUUAAAAUGGCGGCCGUUUGAUCUCAAUAGAUUAAUAAUAGAAAAUCAUAAAAAUGAUAUAAGAGAAGAUAUUGACAUGAAAUCUGGUUGAUAGAAUAACAGUGCU
rnacentral:lncRNA from 1 species